UUGGACAAAAUAUCUGCUCGACACUAUUUCUGGAUUUCUGAUGCUGCUGAGAAUAGCUGCAAGGAUAAGAGGGACCUCUUAUUUUCUCCAGCUGGAACUGUGUCAGAGCUACAUGGGAGUCUGCAGUUGUUCACUGAGGAGCCAUAAUGGUUACAAAUACUCAACCA
rnacentral:lncRNA from 1 species